GACGAACGCUGGCGGCGUGCUUAACACAUGCAAGUCGAACGAGGCCCCUCCUUCGGGAGGGUGUCCUAGUGGCGAACGGGUGAGUAACACGUGGGCAACCUGCCCUCAGCUCUGGGAUAACCCCAAGAAAUUGGGGCUAAUACCGGAUAUGACCGCUGACCGCAUGGUCUGGUGGUGGAAAGAUUUAUCGGCUGGGGAUGGGCCCGCGGCCUAUCAGCUUGUUGGUGGGGUAGUGGCCUACCAAGGCGACGACGGGUAGCCGGCCUGAGAGGGUGACCGGCCACACUGGGACUGAGACACGGCCCAGACUCCUACGGGAGGCAGCAGUGGGGAAUAUUGCGCAAUGGGCGGAAGCCUGACGCAGCGACGCCGCGUGGGGGAUGACGGCCUUCGGGUUGUAAACCUCUUUCAGCAGGGACGAAGCGGAAGUGACGGUACCUGCAGAAGAAGCACCGGCCAACUACGUGCCAGCAGCCGCCGUAACAC
rnacentral:rRNA from 1 species